GUUUGAUCAUGGCUCAGAAUGAACGCUGGCGGCGUGCGUAACACAUGCAAGUCGAACGAGAAAUUCCGGGCUUGCUCGGGAGAGUAAAGUGGCGAACGGGUGAGUAACGCGUGGGUAACCUGCCCCUGAAUCCGGAAUAACUUCGCGAAAGCGAGGCUAAUACCGGAUAUUGUCCCAAGGACCUCGGUUCUUGUGAUGAAAGAUGACCUCUUCACGAAAGUUGUCGUUCAGGGAGGGGCCCGCGUACCAUUAGCUAGUUGGUAGGGUAAUGGCCUACCAAGGCGAUGAUGGUUAGCUGGUCUGAGAGGAUGACCAGCCACACUGGCACUGAAACACGGGCCAGACUCCUACGGGAGGCAGCAGUGAGGAAUUUUGCGCAAUAGGGGAAACCCUGACGCAGCAACGCCGCGUGAGUGAAGAAGGCCCUCGGGUCGUAAAGCUCUGUCAAGUGGGAAAAAAGCUUGUUGGUAAAUAGCCAGCAAGACUGAUGGUACCAUUGAAGGAAGCACCGGCUAACUCCGUGCCAGCAGCCGCGGUAAUACGGAGGGUGCAAGCGUUGUUCGGAAUUACUGGGCGUAAAGGGCGUGUAGGCGGUGUGGUAAGUCAGAUGUGAAAGCCCUGGGCUUAACCCAGGAAGUGCAUUUGAAACUGCCAUGCUUGAGUAUGGGAGAGGAGAGUGGAAUUCCCAGUGUAGAGGUGAAAUUCGUAGAUAUUGGGAGGAACACCCGUGGCGAAGGCGACUCUCUGGACCAAUACUGACGCUGAGGCGCGAAAGCGUGGGGAGCAAACAGGAUUAGAUACCCUGGUAGUCCACGCUGUAAACGAUGAGCACUAGGUGUAGCGGGUAUUGACCCCUGCUGUGCCGUAGCUAACGCAUUAA
rnacentral:rRNA from 1 species